rnacentral:rRNA from 1 species
CCUACGGGAGGCAGCAGUAGGGAAUAUUGCUCAAUGGGGGAAACCCUGAAGCAGCAACGCCGCGUGGAGGAUGAAGGUUUUCGGCUUGUAAACUCCUUUUGUUAGAGAAGAUAAUGACGGUAUCUAACGAAUAAGCACCGGCUAACGCCGUGCCAGCAGCCGUGGUAAUACGGAGGGUGCAAGCGUUACUCGGAAUCACUGGGCGUAAAGAGCGCGUAGGCGGGAUAGUAAGUCAGAUGUUAAAUCCUAUGGCUUAACCAUAGAACUGCAUUUGAAACUGUUAUUCUAGAGUAUGGGAGAGGUAGGUGGAAUUCUUGGUGUAGGGGUAAAAUCCAUAGAGAUCAAGAAGAAUACUCAUUGCGAAGGCGACCUGCUAGAACAUAACUGACGCUGAGGCGCGAAAGCGUGGGGAGCAAACAGGAUUAGAUACCCUUGUAGUC